rnacentral:rRNA from 1 species
UGGGGAAUCUUCCGCAAUGGACGCAAGUCUGACGGAGCAACGCCGCGUGUAUGAAGAAGGCCUUCGGGUUGUAAAGUACUGUUGUUGGGGAAGAACGGCUCAAGUGUAAAUAAUGCUUGAGAUUGACGGUACCCAACGAGGAAGCCCCGGCUAACUACGUGCCAGCAGCCGCGGUAAUACGUAGGGGGCAAGCGUUGUCCGGAAUUAUUGGGCGUAAAGGGCGCGUAGGCGGGCAUAUAAGUCUGAUGUGAAAGUGCGGGGCUUAACCCCGUAAAGCAUUGGAAACUGUAUGUCUUGAGGACAGGAGAGGAAAGUGGAAUUCCUAGUGUAGCGGUGAAAUGCGUAGAUAUUAGGAGGAACACCAGUGGCGAAGGCGACUUUCUGGACUGUAACUGACGCUGAGGCGCGAAAGCGUGGGGAGCAAACAGG